UACGGAGGGUGCAAGCGUUAAUCGGAAUUACUGGGCGUAAAGCGCGCGUAGGCGGCUGACUAAGUCGGGUGUGAAAGCCCCGGGCUCAACCUGGGAACUGCAUCCGAUACUGGUCGGCUAGAGUAUGGGAGAGGGAGGUAGAAUUCCACGUGUAGCGGUGAAAUGCGUAGAUAUGUGGAGGAAUACCGGUGGCGAAGGCGGCCUCCUGGCCCAAUACUGACGCUGAGGUGCGAAAGCGUGGGGAUCAAACAGG
rnacentral:rRNA from 1 species